CGAGUAAGUUGUUUGGUCGCGUGCUUUAGGCAUGAGGAAAGUCCGUGCUCCAUAGAGCAAGAUGCUGGAUAACGUCCAGUGGGGGCGACCCCAAGGAUAGUGCAACAGAGAGAUACCGCCUAUUUACAUAGGUAAGGGUGGAAAGGUGAGGUAAGAGCUCACCAGUGUUUAGGCGACUAAAUAGCUAUGUAAACCCCAUCUGGAGCAAGACCAAAAGGGAACAAAAGAGAUAGUUGCUCGCUAUCGUUCCAAAGGUAGGUCGCAUGAACCUAUUGGUAACAAUAGGUCUAGAUAGAUGACCAUAUAAACAGAACACGGCUUAUAGAUUUACUCGACUA
rnacentral:RNase_P_RNA from 1 species